CUGGCUGGCUGACUGACUGACUGGCUGACUGACUGACUGACUGGCUGGCUGACUGACUGACUGGCUGGCUGACUGGCUGGCUGACUGACUGGCUGGCUGACCGACUGACUGACUGACUGACUGGCUGACUGACUGGCUGGCUGACUGGCUGGCUGACUGAUUGACCGACUGACUGGCUGACUGCCUGACUAAGUGAUGAUUGGCUGACUGACUAGCUGACUGACUGACAGACUAAGUGAUGAUUGGCUGGCUGACUGACUGACUAAGUGAUGACUGACUGACUGACUGACUGACUGAUGAUUGGCUGGCUGACUGACUGACUAAGUGAUGACUGACUGACUGACUGAUGGUUGGCUGACUGACUGACUGAUGAUUGGCUGACUGACUGACUGACUGACUGACUGACUGACUAUGUUUUUUAUUUUAUUUAUUUUACCUUUAUUUUACUAGGCAAGUCAGUUAAGAACAAAUUCUUAUUUUCAAUGACGGCCUAGGAACAGUGGGUUAACUGCCUGUUCAGGGGCAGAACAACAGAUUUUUGUGAGGUAAUGGCUGUAUUAAUUACAGGUAGUGUGGUACCAUGAGGUAAUGGCUGUAUUAAUUACAGGUAGUGUGGUACCAUGAGGUAAUGGCUGUAUUAAUUACAGGUAGUGUGGUACCAUGAGGUAAUGGCUGUAUUAAUUACAGGUAGUGUGGUACCAUGAGGUAAUGGCUGUAUUAAUUACAGGUAGUGUGGUACCAUGAGGUAAUGGCUGUAUUAAUUACAGGUAGUGUGGUACCGUGAGGUAAUGGCUGUAUUAAUUACAGGUAGUGUGGUACCAUGAGGUAAUGGCUGUAUUAAUUACAGGUAGUGUGGUACCAUGAGGUAAUGGCUGUAUUAAUGGCUGUAUUAAUUACAGGUAGUGUGGUACCGUGAGGUAAUGGCUGUAUUAAUUACAGGUAGUGUGGUACCGUGAGGUAAUGGCUGUAUUAAUUACAGGUAGUGUGGCACCAUGAGGUAAUGGCUGUAUUAAUGGCUGUAUUAAUUACAGGUAGUGUGGUACCGUGAGGUAAUGGCUGUAUUAAUUACAGGUAGUGUGGUACCGUGAGGUAAUGGCUGUAUUAAUUACAGGUAGUGUGGUACCGUGAGGUAAUGGCUGUAUUAAUUACAGGUAGUGUGGUACCGUGAGGUAAUGGCUGUAUUAAUUACAGGUAGUGUGGUACCGUGAGGUAAUGGCUGUAUUAAUUACAGGUAGUGUGGUACCAUGAGGUAAUGGCUGUAUUAAUUACAGGUAGUGUGGUACCAUGAGGUAAUGGCUGUAUUAAUGGCUGUAUUAAUUACAGGUAGUGUGGUACCAUGAGGUAAUGGCUGUAUUAAUGGCUGUAUUAAUUACAGGUAGUGUG